GGAAAGAACUGUGUGGUAAAGCAUCUCCUUUGCAUGCAGAAGAUCCCAGGUUUAAUCCCUGGUCUCUCCA